CGUUUUAGCUCUGUUUUUCCAUUCUGGUCAAAUCAAACCAAGAUCUCAAUCCAUUUCAAUCUUGGCUAGCCAGCCACCGAGAUAACCAAGAUAUUGGAUCUGAAACCUUGGCCAGUAGGAGAAAAAAAAGGAAAGAGCUUUGAUUAAAACAGCCACUAUGAGCUAGAAGUAUUUGUCCAAAGAUUAAAUGGAUUUCCAAGAUUUAGUUCCUCACCAAGAAAUUAUACCCGACACUGCAGACACCACGUAGCGCUGCACGCCAGCUGGUAGGCUCCAUUCAUCAAGCUCUCAUGCUGAUACACCGCUACAGGAACGAGCGGUUGUGGAUAUCAGUGUGUAUGGCCACGUGGUGCACGCUGUGUAGAAUAUAAUUUCUCCAUCAAACAGUGUACAUAUAGAUAAACUUGGAGGUCAGAUAUUAUAGAGCUAAAUUAUAUUUAACCACCAGAUUGUCAUAGCAACAGCAGAAAUAAGAGAUGAAACGUAUGGAGACUACUUUUCCAUCUAACAAAAGCUUGGGUACCAAAUAAUAUGCAGAAAAAGGUGAUGGUAUCCAGCCAAUUAUGCAGAAAAAUUCCAGUUCUCACACAGACGCCUUUUCUGAGAACCAAAACAGCAUUAGGUGCGACAGCACCUCUCCAUUAUAUUUUAUAUAUAACAAAGGGGAAAAUAUGAUAGCCCUAUAGUUCACUAUUUAGCAUUAAAACAGCCCAUUAUACUAUGAAAUAACAGUCAUUAUUUUCACUUACAACUUUCUAUAAACAAAAUAUUAUUUUUUAAUUCAAUUUUUUUUCAUCAAGACUCAGGCCAAAAAUGACUGGAUGGUCCCAAAAUAAUAUUUUUUAUCCAAUGAAAAGUAAAGAGAAAGAUAACGCUGUUUUUUUCCUUUCAUUGCCCCUUAUUUUCCAUUACAAUGACCAUUCCAACAAUAAUUAUUUUAAUAUAAAGAAAUUUCAAACACUGCUUUUUGAGGCGAACAAGGGUUAUUAUAACCAUUAUAACAGUCAAUAACAAUUUUGGUAGGGAUACAUUGUAACAACAUAAUGUGUUUAAAACCUUGAUAUGUUUUAAUAUUAAAAAAAUCAAUAUCUACACACCAAACAGAACAUCCAACAUGUUUAACACUUUCACCUUUGAAUGUAGCAGUCAGUAUUUACAAAUGAAAUUCAAAAAAGAGAAACUAUUGAUUCUUGCAGUUCUUAACUCAUCAACAAACUUCCCACAUAAAUGUGAGAAUGCUGAACUUCUGCCUACUCUACCUGAAUUUAUAAAAGAAACUGGUCUCCAGACAUAUGUCGCACCACGUUUGUACACAAACGUGAGAGAAGAAAUCUUGAUUUAGUGUUUAGCAAUAGAGACCUUUUAUAGACUCUUGUCAAGUGUGCAUGUGGGCAGUGUUUAUUUGACAAACUCAAAAGUUAUUGCAUCAAUUGACUUAAAAGAAAGCAUUAGACAGGAUAAUUACUUGAUUCUGAAAGAAAAAAACAAAAACAAAACAUCAAAAAGGUUGACAUAUAGAAGGUAUAUGACUUAUUUUUUCCCACUACAAAUAAAGAGGAAUAUCUGAAUGGAAAUCCUUUAGUUCUUUACAUAUGAUAACCACAAUUGAAAACACAACCGUGCAAUCCUGAAGAUCUAUUAUUCAACACUGGCCUACAAAAACAACUAAAAGGGUCAGAGGUUGAAUAUGCAAAAAGCAAUUAACUGUUCCUAGGUUUAUUUGUUGAACAUCUUGCAUACAUCAUGUCAAGGGCCAUAAUCUUAGACAAUUGAAAUAUGAAUUUACAUGUAUCAUUCAAAAUACAUUUGUUUAAUUUGAACUGUAGCAAUAGCUUUAUCUGUCAAUCAUUUGAAAUGGCAAUUUUCUACGACUAAUAUAAACAAAUAUAGCUGAGAUGUCUUCAUGUCAUCCCAAUGAAAGCAAACACUGCGAACUCCUAAAGAUGGCCUAAAAUCAGAUACUUACCUGCUAACUCUCCAAACAACCACAAUGCGAGAGAUGAGCAUCAUAAAUGUGAUUUCUAGAUUCAGCACAACAUGCUUCAUAUUAUUUCGCAUUUGGCAGUAACAGAAUUACGAAUGUUACACACUUAACGUUAUAUCAUACGCCAGUUAACUUGGAUAUCUAAUGAAAGCUGACAAAUGAAUGAAUGAUGCAACCUUUAGUUUAAAAAACCUCAUUCAAUCAUUGUAAAGUUAAUUCAUGUAGCUUUGGUUGUUUACAUCACCUAAAUGCAUGCAGACUCAUGCAGCUAGAAGUCAGCAACAUGGGCAUGAAAGUUUGCAUGACAUUAACACAUGUAAUAACCAGCUCCAUAGGGAGUGAGAAGACGCAAACUACAAGUAUCUGUCCACCAAAACAUGCAAUCAUAAGAAAAAAGCAAAAAGAAAAGUUAAAACAAGAGUGAAAUAGAUCCCCAAUAUACGAUAUAGUUUUUUUUUCUAUAUUAAUCGCCACAUAUAAUAGUGAGUUGUCUUGUUACUUACUAAAAUAUCAAGUAUGAAAAGAUUAAAUGAACGAGUACAGAUCAUAAUCAGUAGAAUGAUAAUGAAAUUGCUGAUUGGGGCUCAUGAUAGAGAAUACUCUAAUUACCUAAAUACAGAAUUAUCUUUUUUAUACAUAAUUUACUAUUAAAAAAAAUUAAGCAUAUGAGAUGUAGAAGUUUCCACAUUUGUAAUAAUGCGACUCCAAUGUACUAAUACUAAGCUUCCAAUUAGUGAAAUUCCUCACGUUUUCAAUGAAAUAUAGAUCAUAUUUAUAUAAAAUCUUAUGCUCUUUAUAAAAAUUAAGUCAUCAUGUCAAGAUCCAACUCACAUGCUAAAAAUGUUAUUUCAUGCUAAGGCAUCUUCUGUUUACAUUUCUCUUGAAAGAAAGAAAGAAAAAACAGUAAAAUUUCUAAUUCAUUGUAGAAAUUUCCAUUGUGAAUUUGGGAAUUACUAAACAUUGUAACAAUAACUUUAUUGUAUAAAGAUUGAAAAUUUAGAACAUUAAUAUAAAUCUUUUAUUAAAAGUGAAACAAAAAAAAACUUUCCUCAAAUCGUUUGUCCUCAAAUAUUAUAAAUUUGGCAGGAACCAAGAUUCUAGAUAUUUCACAUAGUUGACAAGCAAAUUUAACACUCCUUGUGAACAGGAACCCUUUUCUUGGGGCAAGAAUAGGAACCAGUUUAGGUUGCAAGACAUUGCAAUCACAAUAUCUUGUCAAAUUCCCUUCAUGUGCACACAUAUGGGAUGCAAUGGCCCCUGGUUGCUCAUUCUGCACAAGAAAAAGAUGAAAGGAGGGCAGGAAGCAGCAUGUCAUCCUAACUCAUUCCCCGCAUUGACAUUUGGCAAGAUGUUGCAAUCACUAUCACAAUAUAUCUUGUGAUAUUUCCCUGAGAAUUUAUAUGUAUCCCUUAUAUUAAAUAGUUUAUAGAUAAGUUUCAUUUUUUGACCAAAACCUAUAUUAGUGAUAGUAAAUUUGAGUCAAAGAAAAGAGUUGACUGAUAUCAACUGAAACCCCAAAUCAGGAUUAAUCCACAUUCGCUUGAGUGGAAACUAAACCAAGACAGUUAAAACUUGCAGUUUCAAAGAUGAGUAUAUUAUAGGAAGCACAAAACUUUCACUAAUAAAGCAUACACUGAUGGAGAAUUUACUAAUAAAAAUCACAGGAUAUGUGCAAUAACUAUAGUAAGAGGCCUAAAUAAAAAGCUACUCAGGCUUGUGUGGAAGGAUAUGAGGAGAGAACCUAAAUGGUAGCUACCAGACAAGGCUUUGAGAAGCGCACUGAGAGAGCUCAAAGAUAUCGAUGACAAAGUUUGCUGAAAGGAUACGCAAAGCUAACUUGAUAUACAAGGGAUAAGGAUUGUUAAUGGUUAUAAAAGAUGAAAAUAUGUCAUUCAAAGGAAAAGAAAUGACCUUCUAGUCUAAGGAUCAAUGAUUCACGUUGGCUCAUUUUCUUCCUAUGUUAAAUUCAUCUCAUACAAAUAUUAUUGAAGGAUACAAUAACAAUUCACAAAACUUUUUCAAAUGAAACUGUUGUGGCGUAACAAAGGAAAUGAGCAUACCAACAGAAGAUUAAGAUUUUCACCAAUAAAAGAUGAGCCGGCAGAUAAUUGACUAUUAAAGCUAUAUGGCUUGUGCAAACAUGAUCAAAGGAGGCCUAAGCAAGAAAAGCAGCCCAGGUUUGUGCAGAAUGAUAGGAAAAGGAGGGAAAGAACUGGGAUGAUUUAGAUGGAACCUAUCAAAUGAGGAUUAAAAGAAGCUUUUAUUAACAAAGGCAUACCUAUUGAUAGCCAUCUGCUUAAAGGAUUCAUGAAGCUAACUCUACAUGGAUGUGCAAAGGACUGUUGAUUUUAAUUAUAUCAUCAACUGAAUCUUAUCCUGGUCAUUCAAGAAAGAUGCUUGACGCUUUUAUAGGGGUGUAAACAUGCCAAGCUCAAGUGAGCCAGGCCUAGCUAUAGCUCGUCUCCUUUCAUAUUGGAGCCAAGCUCAAGCAAAUUCAUUUAAUUUUGAGCCAAAAUCAAGCUGCUCUCAAGCAACUCAUUAAGAAAUACAAGUGACAGCUUGAGGUUCCUUGAGGCUUUCAUAUAUUAGUUUGAGCUAAUAUGUAUCAUUAUAUCUCAAUGUUAGAAAUAAAUUUUUCUUUUGCAUGUAUAUUAUAUUAAUCUCUAACAUAAUAUAAAGAAAAAGCCCGACUCUUUCUUUAUUUGUCAAGCUUAAUCAAGCUUAGCUUGAGCGAGCUUAGCUCUAGUCAACUCAUUUCCUAGUCGAAUGAGUCGAGUUCAUGUUGAAUUUCAAGCCAAACACAAGAUGCUCACGAACAGCUCGUCUGUUUGGCACCACAAACCUCUGAAGGAUUAGAUAGCAUGGUAUUACAUUUUUUCCGUGGAGAGGACUCACCAUAAGGUUAGUUAAUAAAAUAUAGAAAAUUAUAAUAGGAAAAUUCAUGAACCUUUCUUCAAAAAAAUGCAAGACAUGUCUCUUAAUAAGGUAAUGAGAAUUGGCUCUAAUUUGCCAAGACCACAAGGCAAUAUAUCAUCAGUUGCAAGUAAGGCUGCAAAUGGGUCGGGUUGACCCAUGACCCGCGUAGACCCGACCAGACCCGAAUGUUAGGACCCGCGAGGCUGGGUCAAGUCCUAAAUUUGGACCCGUUCUAUUUUUCAAGUCGAGUCUAGGUCAACCCAAUCCCAACCCGACCCAUUUUUUUGGGUCAAUUUUGGAUCGUUUACCAAAAGACCUUAUCCAACCCGACCCGAACCCGGAUUACCCCUUUAGACCCGCAGGCCCACAGGCCGCAACCCACAAGGAAAAAGAGCUCCGAGUCCCGUGAGUCCUCAAGCCCAUAGGCUUUCAGCCAGCUAGCCAUAGCCCAUACGACAUAAGUCCCUUCUUCGCUUCUGAGUCCCUUGUCCAGCUGUCAUGAUUCUUUCAAAGGGUCGUGGCAGAGGAACCGUAGAUCUGGAGAAGAGUAGAAUACCAUGUCCGGCUGUCCCUUCUUCCCGGAUCGAUCUCCCCCUUCUGCGUGACCGCGAGUCUCUUC
rnacentral:lncRNA from 1 species